AUUGAACGCUGGCGGCAGGCCUAACACAUGCAAGUCGAACGAGUGGCGGACGGGUGAGUAAUGUCUGGGAAACUGCCUGAUGGAGGGGGAUAACUACUGGAAACGGUAGAUAAUACCGCAUACCAUCGGAUGUGCCCAGAUGGGAUUAGCUAGUAGGUGGGGUAAAGGCUAACCUAGGCGACGAUCCCUAGCUGGUCUGAGAGGAUGACCAGCCACACUGGAACUGAGGCACGGUCCCGACUCCUACGGGAGGCAGCAGUGGGGAAUAUUGCACGAUAGGCGCAAGCCUGAUGCAGCCAUGCCGCGUGUAUGAAGAAGGCCGUCGGGUUGUAAAGUACUUUCAUCGGGGAGGCGUUACCCGCAGAAGAAGCACCGGCUUACUCCGUGCCAGCAGACGCGGUAAUAC
rnacentral:rRNA from 1 species